rnacentral:rRNA from 1 species
UCCGGUUGAUCCUGCCAGAGGUUACUGCUAUCGAGGUUCGACUAAGCCAUGCGAGUCGAAUGUAGCAAUACAUGGCGUACUGCUCAGUAACACGUGGACAACCUGCCCUUAGGUUGGGUAUAAACCCGGGAAACUGGGUAUAAUCCCCUAUAAGUCUCGGCUGCUGGAAUGCACCGAGAUUAAAAGCUCCGGCGCCUAAGGAUGGGUCUGCGGCCUAUCAGGUAGUAGUGGGUGUAGCGUACCUACUAGCCUACGACGGGUACGGGUUGUGAGAGCAAGAGCCCGGAGAUGGAUUCUGAGACACGAAUCCAGGCCCUACGGGGUGCAGCAGGCGCGAAAACUUUACAAUGCUGGCAACAGCGAUAAGGGAACCUCGAGUGCCAGGUUACAAAUCUGGCUGUCGAGAUGCCUAAAAAGCAUUUCAUAGCAAGGGCCGGGCAAGACCGGUGCCAGCCGCCGCGGUAACACCGGCGGCUCGAGUGGUAACCGUUAUUAUUGGGUCUAAAGGGUCUGUAGCCGGCCGGAUAAGUCUCUUGAGAAAUCUGGCAGCUUAACUGUCAGGCUUUCAGGAGAUACUGUCUGGCUCGAGGCCGGGAGAGGUGAGAGGUACUUCAGGGGUAGGGGUGAAAUCUUGUAAUCCUUGAAGGACCACCAGUGGCGAAAGCGUCUCACCAGAACGGACCUGACGGCAAGGGACGAAAGCUAGGGGCACGAACCGGAUUAGAUACCCGGGUAGUCCUAGCCGUAAACGAUACUCGCUAGGUGUCGGCCACGGUGCGACCGUUGUCGGUGC